UAGGGAAUCUUCGGCAAUGGGGGGAACCCUGACCGAGCAACGCCGCGUGAGUGAAGAAGGUUUUCGGAUCGUAAAGCUCUGUUGUUAAGGAAGAACGAGUGUGAGAAUGGAAAGUUCAUGCUGUGACGGUACUUAACCAGAAAGGGACGGCUAACUACGUGCCAGCAGCCGCGGUAAUACGUAGGUCCCGAGCGUUGUCCGGAUUUAUUGGGCGUAAAGCGAGCGCAGGCGGUUAGAAAAGUCUGAAGUGAAAGGCAGUGGCUCAACCAUUGUAGGCUUUGGAAACUGUUUAACUUGAGUGCAGAAGGGGAGAGUGGAAGUCCAUGUGUAGCGGUGAAAUGCGUAGAUAUAUGGAGGAACACCGGUGGCGAAAGCGGCUCUCUGGUCUGUAACUGACGCGGAGGCUCGAAAGCGUGGGGAGCGAACAGG
rnacentral:rRNA from 1 species